GAGUUUGAUCAUGGCUCAGGAUGAACGCUGGGGGCAUGCUUAACACAUGCAAGUCGAACGGGUUUGAAGUUGAAACUUUCUAGUGAAUUCUUCUUAUCAGUGGCGGACGGGUGCGUAACGCGUAAGAACCUACCUUUAGGUGGAGAAUAACCAUUGGAAACGGUGGCUAAUACUCCAUAUGCUGAGGAGUGAAAGGGAAAGACAACUUUCUCGCCUAGGGAUGGGCUUGCGUCUGAUUAGCUUGUUGGUGAGGUAAUAGCUUACCAAGGCCACGGUCAGUAGCUGGUCUGAGAGGACGAUCAGCCACACUGGGACCGAGACACGGCCCAGACUCCUACGGGAGGCAGCAGUGAGGAAUUUUCCGCAAUGGGCGAAAGCCUGACGGAGCAAUGCAGCGUGGAGGAAGACAGCCUAUGGGCCGUAAACUCCUUUUCUCAGAGAAGAAGCUCUGACGGUAUCUGAGGAGUAAGCAUCGGCUAACUCCGUGCCAGCAGCCGCGGUAAUACG
rnacentral:rRNA from 1 species